rnacentral:rRNA from 1 species
AAUCCAUAGGUUAAUGAGGCGAACCGGGGGAACUGAAACAUCUAAGUACCCCGAGGAAAAGAAAUCAACCGAGAUUCCCCCAGUAGCGGCGAGCGAACGGGGAGGAGCCCAGAGCCUGAAUCAGCAUGUGUGUUAGUGGAAGCGUCUGGAAAGGCGCGCGAUACAGGGUGACAGCCCCGUACACAAAAGCGCAUGUGCUGUGAGCUCGAUGAGUAGGGCGGGACACGUGGUAUCCUGUCUGAAUAUGGGGGGACCAUCCUCCAAGGCUAAAUACUCCUGACUGACCGAUAGUGAACCAGUACCGUGAGGGAAAGGCGAAAAGAACCCCGGCGAGGGGAGUGAAAAAGAACCUGAAACCGUGUACGUACAAGCAGUGGGAGCACAGGUUUACCUGUGUGACUGCGUACCUUUUGUAUAAUGGGUCAGCGACUUAUAUUCUGUAGCAAGGUUAACCGAAUAGGGGAGCCGUAGGGAAACCGAGUCUUAAUUGGGCGUUAAGUUGCAGGGUAUAGACCCGAAACCCGGUGAUCUAGCCAUGGGCAGGUUGAAGGUUGGGUAACACUAACUGGAGGACCGAACCGACUAAUGUUGAAAAAUUAGCGGAUGACCUGUGGCUGGGGGUGAAAGGCCAAUCAAACCGGGAGAUAGCUGGUUCUCCCCGAAAGCU